UACGUAGGGGGCAAGCGUUGUCCGGAAUCAUUGGGCGUAAAGCGCGCGUAGGCGGCCCGGUAAGUCCGCUGUGAAAGUCCAGGGCUCAACCCUGGAAAGCCGGUGGAUACUGCCGGGCUAGAGUCCGGAAGAGGCGAGUGGAAUUCCUGGUGUAGCGGUGAAAUGCGCAGAUAUCAGGAGGAACACCGAUGGCGAAGGCAGGUCUCUGGGCAUUAACUGACGCUGAGGAGCGAAAGCAUGGGGAGCGAACAGG
rnacentral:rRNA from 1 species